UCCUCAGUAGCUCAGACGGUUAGAGCGGCGGACUGUUAAUCCGUAGGUCGCAGGUUCGAUCCCUGCCUGGGGAG
rnacentral:tRNA from 1 species